rnacentral:rRNA from 1 species
AUUGAACGCUGGCGGCAGGCCUAACACAUGCAAGUCGAACGAGUGGCGGACGGGUGAGUAAUGUCUGGGAAACUGCCUGAUGGAGGGGGAUAACUACUGGAAACGGUAGCUAAUACCGCAUACCAUCGGAUGUGCCCAGAUGGGAUUAGCUAGUAGGUGGGGUAAAGGCUAACCGAGGCGACGAUCCCUAGCUGGUCUGAGAGGAUGACCACCACCACUGGAAGUGAGACACGGUCCUGACUCCUACGGUAGGCAGCAGUGGGGAAUAUUGCACAAUGUGCGCAAGCCUGCUGCAGCCAUGCCGCGUGUAUGAAGAAGGCCUUCGGGUUGUAAAGUACUUUCAGCGGGGAGGCGUUACCCGCAGAAGAAGCACCGGCUAACUACGUGCCAGCAGCCGCGGUAAUUC